rnacentral:lncRNA from 1 species
CUAUUUCUCGCCUGGUCACACUCAAGACACUUCUCUGGCCUUAUCUAACACCCAUGCACAUUGUGCUAGUCUCCAAGUAAAUUUAGCUACAAAGAUUUUUUUUUUAAUGUUCAGUACUGGAAUUCCCUCAGCCAUGUGACUCUGAGCCUCCUUAUCAGGUUCCAUGAAACUUGAUGACUGCAGAUCCUGAAGAAUCUAAGGUAGCAAAAUACUUUCCACUGAGAAGUCAAGGUUGUGUGUGAAACAGUGAAACAUGAGGUCUGGCCCCUAUUGCUAUUAUAAAAAUGUUAAGCUAUGUAAGCUUUUGGGAUGGCUUUUCUGCCAUCAGAGCAAUCUGUGGAACUGGUUGCCAAGGAGCCAGCAAAGGCUAGAUGAGUUC